UUCCCCACAACCAGCCAAAGGAUGGAAGCAAUACCCACCUUGAGUACUCUUAGAAACAGAAUAGUUUCACAAGAUUGCAGAGCGGUGGGAGAAGUCAUGUGUGACAUCAGACCUCAACACAGACUAGGAGCAAGAAUGCCAAAGAGGCAGAUAACAUAUAAACCUCAGGAGGAGGAAGAUCAUCUUCCUUCCAAUACAUCUCAACAUCUCCACUAAAAUGGAAAGGAGGCUCCUCUUAAAACCACGAAUGUCAUUGGUUGUGAGAGCGAAGACAAACCACCAGAAUGGCAUUAGUAGUGGCAAGUGACAUAGAAGGCUGAACAGGGUAAAUAUGAAGUAACGUUAUGCUAAUUUGGAUGUUUUUUCUUUAAGUCACUAGCCAUCCAGAUCCAAGUUCCAGGCCAGGCCAGACCAGACCAUGUGAAAGGAAUUAACUUAAAUAGACAUGGUGAUUAACCUACCAGAACACAGCGAGUUGGAGGCCAGGAGUGGACGUCCAACCUAUAACUUCAAGUCAAAUGCAAGAAAGUAACACUCUUGGAAGUAGGCUGCAUG